CCCUUAGAUGUUCUGGGCUGCACGCGCGCUACACUGAUGCGAUCAACAAGUUUUUCCUAUGUCGAUAGACACGGGUAAUCUUUUGAACUCGCAUCGUGAUGGGGAUAGAUUAUUGUAAUUAUUAAUCUUCAACGAGGAAUUCCUAGUAGGUGCAAAUCAUCAGUUUGAAUCGAUUACGUCCCUGCCCUUUGUACACACCGCCCGUCGCUGCUACCGAUUGGUUGAUCUGGUGAAUUAUUCGGACUGCCGGCUGAAGGGGUUUCCUCAUCUGCCAGCGGAAAGUCUUGUUAACCCUAUCAACUAGAGGAAGCAGAAGUCGUAACA
rnacentral:rRNA from 1 species